AUACAAUAGUGUGGACAUCUUCUCAAAAGUUCCUUAUACCUUUCCCAUGCUUCAUAUAGUGACUCUUCUUCCUGCUACACAAAAGAUGUGAUCUCUCCUCUCAACUU